rnacentral:rRNA from 1 species
UACGUAGGGGGCAAGCGUUGUCCGGAAUUAUUGGGCGUAAAGAGCGUGUAGGCGGUCCGGUAAGUCAGCUGUGAAAGUCAAGGGCUCAACCCUUGAAAGCCGGUUGAUACUGUCGGGCUAGAGUCCGGAAGAGGCGAGUGGAAUUCCCGGUGUAGCGGUGAAAUGCGCAGAUAUCGGGAGGAACACCAAUGGCGAAGGCAGCUCGCGUGGACGGUACUGACGCUGAGACGCGAAAGCGUGGGUAGCAAACAGG